AUUAUUGUUUGGCAAUAAUAUUGUUGCCACAUGUGGGCGCUGUUAAGUCGAGUUCGCCGCCAUUAAUGGAUAUUGCACCAUACUUUGCUGCUGUUUUGCUGCCAAGUCAAGUUUUUAAAGUUUCUUUGUGUUGGUAUUAUUGUGAUUUAAUUAUUGCUGUUUAUUGUGUUUAUCUUGUAGAUGACUUAGACAUCUAAAUAAGUUAGUUACUGGAUUUUAUUGGGUUGUUGCCCUUGGUGUUAAGAUAUUGUGCCGUACAUUUGUUACUGUGAAGAAAGUGUACUGAUGUUUCCAGAAUGUAUUAUGCAAUGAUUUUUGGAUUGUGAAGUAUUCUCGUGGAUUCACAAAGUUUUCUUACCCGGUGUCAUAAAUAUUAUCGAAAACCGUCUUCCAUCUUUCAUUUCCGUCUAUUGUGAUGUUUGUGUAUUGCUGAGCAUUUCAUGUUAUGCUAUCAAUUCUUCGAAUUACAAUUUCAUUACAAGUUUUCAACAAUUGGUUGUGUUUGGACAAGGA